rnacentral:rRNA from 1 species
CUACGUGCCAGCAGCCGCGGUAAUACGUAGGUCCCGAGCGUUGUCCGGAUUUAUUGGGCGUAAAGCGAGCGCAGGCGGUUAGAUAAGUCUGAAGUUAAAGGCAGUGGCUCAACCAUUGUAGGCUUUGGAAACUGCUGAUCUAGAGUAUCGGAGAGGAAAGUGGAAUUCCUAGUGUAGCGGUGAAAUGCGUAGAUAUUAGGAAGAACACCAGUGGCGAAGGCGACUUUCUGGACGAAAACUGACGCUGAGGCGCGAAAGCCAGGGGAGCGAACGGGAUUAGAUACCCCGGUAGUCCUGGCCGUAAACGAUGGGUACUAGGUGUAGGAGGUAUCGACCCCUUCUGUGCCGGAGUUAACGCAAUAAGUACCCCGCCUGGGGAGUACGACCGCAAGGUUGAAACUCAAAGGAAUUGACGGGGGCCCGCACAAGCGGUGGAGUAUGUGGUUUAAUUCGACGCAACGCGAAGAACCUUACCAGGUCUUGACAU